rnacentral:rRNA from 1 species
GAGUUUGAUCUUGGCUCAGAGUGAACGCUGGCGGCAGGCCUAACACAUGCAAGUCGAACGGCAGCACGGCAGUAGCAAUACUGUGGGUGGCGAGUGGCGGACGGGUGAGGAAUACAUGGGAAUCUACCCUGUCGUGGGGGAUAACGUAGGGAAACUUACGCUAAUACCGCAUACGACCGAGAGGUGAAAGCGGCGGACCGCAAGGCGUCGCGCGAUUGGAUGAGCCCAUGUCGGAUUAGCUAGUUGGCGGGGUAAAGGCCCACCAAGGCGACGAUCCGUAGCUGGUCUGAGAGGAUGAUCAGCCACACUGGAACUGAGACACAGUCCAGACUCCUACGGGAGGCAGCAGUGGGGAAUAUUGGACAAUGGGCGCAAGCCUGAUCCAGCCAUGCCGCGUGAGUGAAGAAGGCCUUCGGUU